ensembl:lncRNA
GCUGUGUCGGGUUUCUGCCUUUCUGGCAGACACCUGAUUUUCUGCUGUGUGCAUGUGCACGUGAGUGUGUGGUUUGUGCGAGUGACUGAGAGGAGUGUGGUUGUGUAAUGUGGUGGUUCCAUGCGUUUCCUGGUUCUGUGUGUGGCUCUGUGGUUCUUUAUGUGGUUUUAUUGUUCUGUGUGUGGCUUCGUAGUUCUGUGUCUAGCUUCAUGGGUCUGUAUGUUGCUGCACAGCUGUGUGUGUGUGUGUGUGUGUGUGUGUGUGCACACCACCCAAUUUAGGCCGCACAGGGACCCCAGAGGAAGAGCAUUACGUGGAUCCAGUUCACAGAUGGGGAAACUGAGAAGCCGUCCGAGAUGCUCCUGGAGACCAGUGGUUCCUGUCGCCUUGCUUUGUGUUUCGUCCUUGCGUCCUCGCUGUCUCCAGAGGCUGAAUGUCUGAGAGCCGCUGGGGCCGGAGUGGGGCCGGAACGUGGGUCUCCUCCCUCGUCCCCACCUUGGCGUCACGGCUCCCCGUGGGCAGGGCCGCAGGAGUCCAGGAGGACAGCCCCACCGGGGGUAGCCACGCGGAGGAACGGGAGGCAGUGCCGACCUCCUCUUUCCUCCCAGGGCUGCGGGCACCCCCUGCACACCCACCGCCCUUGGGGGGCCUCAGACUCCAGAGGGGCCAGGCCGGCCCCAGAGGGCACAUGCGUGCUCAGCGUGGUGUCCGGCCCUGCAGCCACCAGGGCUCUGCAGGGCGAGCUGCUCCCAGCUGCUCCCUGCUGUCUCUCCAGGACGUCACCCCUUGCUCCUGGGUCCCAAGCCUUCUGCCCCUGCACCGCUACCCAGAAGCCACACUCGGGAGCCAGAGCCACAGAGGACCUUCCUGGGUGCCAGGCACACAGCCCUCAGACCCCCGCUGGCCCGUGGGCUGCAGGUCCCCUGAUCUUCUUGGGUCCACUGCCCUCCCCCGGACCCUGUGGUGCUGCUUGCUGACUAGCCACUGGGAGCGCCCUGCCCCUUAGACAGCUGGCCUCAGGACUGAGAUGGGGCCUCAGGCAGCCAGCCCUGUCUCACCUUUGCCCCUGGAUGCUGGCUGUAGGCCCAAGACCCACACCUCCCAGGUGGGCCUUCUCUCUCCCCCAGGCCUCUGCGUGGCCCUGUCCUGUCUCCCUCUCUCCCUAUGGACCUGGGGCACGGCCUGGAGGCCAGUCUGGGGAGGCCUGGGGAGGAGGACGUGGGCAAGCAGAACAUGCAAGGUUUGUGUAUGGGAAGCCACCGGGUCCCUGGGUGGCCUGGGGCAGCAGCAGCCAGUGGCCAUCAGGGACUUGGGGACACAGGCUUUGUGAACCAGAGCCAGAGUGUGGCCUUAGCCUGAAGGUGGGGAGCCAUUAAGUGGUUAAAGCUGUUUUUCUGGUCAUAAAUGUGCACACUCUUGUCAACUUCAAAAAAGCAGAAAGAAGAGAAGUCCCGUGUGGGUGUCUGGUGGGGCCGCUGCCUCCCUCAGUAUUCUCCCAUCGCCCGUGAAUUCCCGGAAUUCCUUCUCAAUCUCCUUUCUGGCUGGGUGCGGUCCAGAGCCCAGCACUUCUCUGAGUCCUGCCCCGUGGUCUCCAGCCUCAGGUCCUAGCCAGCCCUCUUAGCGGGCCCGUGGCCUUCUGAGAGCCCACUGCCUGUGGCCAGCCAGCCAGGGUCCUGGGUGGGGGCUGCCCCUGCCCCCGAGACACGGCUCCUCCCAGCAGCAGCC